UACGUAGGGUGCAAGCGUUGUCCGGAAUUAUUGGGCGUAAAGAGCUCGUAGGCGGUCUGUCGCGUCGGCUGUGAAAACUCGGGGCUCAACUCCGAGCUUGCAGUCGAUACGGGCAGGCUAGAGUUCGGCAGGGGAGACUGGAAUUCCUGGUGUAGCGGUGGAAUGCGCAGAUAUCAGGAGGAACACCGGUGGCGAAGGCGGGUCUCUGGGCAGUAACUGACGCUGAGGAGCGAAAGCGUGGGGAGCAAACAGG
rnacentral:rRNA from 1 species